GAAAUUUCUCUGCAACUCUCUUCCUUUCUGUGUGUUUCUCUAAGCAGUAGUCUAAUACUGUUGUUAGAGGAAUUCUUCAACAGAAAGAUGAAGAAUUAUUAUCCCCUUCCCUCUGCUUUCCUCUUGGUCAGAACCCAAAGAAAAUAGAGCAAGCUCCUUCGGUUAAGCUGCUGUAAAACCAGCAACAAAAGCUCUCCCAAACCACUCCCUGGAACUCACUCUGUCGCCACAAUAAGUAUGGGUUUCAGCAAGUGUUUCUCCUCUCACUUUUCUGGUUUUAGGCUCACGUAGAACAGCAGAGAAUUUCUUGUUCUUCUCUCUUUUGUUUCUGUUUUUCUGCAGAAACUUAUCUCUCAAAAGUUCUCUCCUCUCUCUUGGUCUUUAAUGCAGAAAAUCUCUCAUCUUUCCCUCUUUAUUUUCAGUUCUAUAGGUGCUGUAACUUUCUGUAAAACCAGCAGCAUUUCUUCUCCUUUGCUGCACAAAAACAGCAAGUAAAGUCCCUGUUUUCUCUCCCAAAACAGCAGCCUCUUCUCUUUAAAAAGCCACAGAAAACUCUCCUCCUUCUGCAGAAAAAUAGUACAGCAAAAGCUCUCUUUUCUCCUUGUUUCCUCUCACUUUCAGCAGCUUUUUCUCUGGUUUUCUGCAAAGCAUUGUUGCUGUAAAUUUCAGCAAACAACCUCCUUUUCUCUUCCUCUACAAAGAAACAAGAACUCUCUUCCCCUUUUGAGAAAGAGAAACCGGAUCUCUCCAUUUCUUCUACUCUCUUUUCUUUCCUCUCUCGGGUGCAACAAACAAUGGAAGGAAGAAGAAAAGAAAAGAAAAGAGUAGGAAGGGAGAAAACAAAAAAGAAGGAACUCUCUUUUCCUCUCACGAGUUGCAUUCUUUUUGCAAGGAAAACAGAAAAGUCGUCUCGCCCGUAUGCUGCAACAAGGGUGCGCUUUCGGCCCGUUUUCUAGGAGCGCUCGUCAAUUAUUGUGUGGAAAUCCUUUUGGAAGCAGAAGAAGGAUUUGAGGAUGAAGAGUAUCAGGACUAUCCAGAUGCUUAGAUGGAUAUGAGUAGCAGUCUUUUGAGGCUAGGUUACCUCUUGUGUUGUGGUCUCUUGGAUGUGAUGGACUACCCUCCUUAGUUUAUCCUUUCAUGUACAUAUGCCAAACUCUUUUUAUAUGUCUCUUUGAUGCUAUAAUAUUUUGGUAUUACUGAUACUUUAUUAAGUGCCGCUUGUGGCACGUGUGUUAUUGUUUGAGAUGUAUUUAUAUUAUCAGAACAAAGGUUAUUAUUUUAUAUAUUGAGGUUAUUCAGUCA